rnacentral:rRNA from 1 species
GAUGAACGCUAGCGGCAGGCUUAAUACAUGCAAGUCGAGGGGCAGCACAGGUAGCAAUACUGGGUGGCGACCGGCAAACGGGUGCGGAACACGUACACAACUUACCUUCUGGUGGGGGAUAGCCUUUGGAAACGGAAAUUAAUACCCCAUAUUAUAUAUGAGCUGCAUGGUUUGUAUAUUAAAGAUUUAUUGCCGGAAGAUGGGUGUGCGUAUGAUUAGGUAGUUGGCGGGGUAACGGCCCACCAAGCCGACGAUCAUUAACUGGUGUGAGAGCACGACCAGUCACACGGGCACUGGGAAACGGGCCCGACUCCUACGGGAGGCAGCAGUAAGGAAUAUUGGUCAAUGGACGGAAGUCUGAACCAGCCAUGCCGCGUGGAGGAUGAAGGUCCUCUGGAUUGUAAACUUCUUUUAUAGGGGGCGAAAAAAGGGAAUUCUUUCUCGUCUGACGGUACCCUAUGAAUAAGCACCGGCUAACUCCGUGCCAGCAGCCGCCGUAAAAC